GGCCAAUCAAACCGGGAGAUAGCUGGUUCUCCCCGAAAGCUAUUUAGGUAGCGCCUCGUGAACUCAUCUUCGGGGGUAGAGCACUGUUUCGACUAGGGGGUCAUCCCGACUUACCAACUCGAUGCAAACUGCGAAUACCGAAGAAUGUUAUCACGGGAGACACACGGCGGGUGCUAACGUCCGUCGUGAAGAGGGAAACAACCCAGACCGCCAGCUAAGGUCCCAAAGUCAUGGUUAAGUGGGAAACGAAGUGGGAAGGCUCAGACAGCCAGGAUGUUGGCUUAGAAGCAGCCAUCAUUUAAAGAAAGCGUAAUAGCUCACUGGUCGAGUCGGCCCGCGCGGAAGAUGUAACGGGGCUAAACCAU
rnacentral:rRNA from 1 species